AUUGAACGCUGGCGGCAUGCUUUACACAUGCAAGUCGGACGAGUGGCGAACGGGUGAGUAACAUAUCGGAACGUACCGAGUAAUGGGGGAUAACUAAUCGAAAGAUUAGCUAAUACCGCAUAUUAUUCGAGCGGCCGAUAUCUGAUUAGCUGGUUGGUGGGGUAAAGGCCUACCAAGGCGACGAUCAGUAGCGGGUCUGAGAGGAUGAUCCGCCACACUGGGACUGAGACACGGCCCAGACUCCUACGGGAGGCAGCAGUGGGGAAUAUUGCACAAUGGGCGCAAGCCUGAUGCAGCCAUGCCGCGUGUAUGAAGAAGGCCCUAGGGUUGUAAAGUACUUUCAGUCGGGAGGCGUUACCGACAGAAGAAGCACCGGCUAACUCCGUGCCAGCAGCCGCGGUAAUUC
rnacentral:rRNA from 1 species